UGGCGGGUAGUCUAAUGGUAGGACGUCUGGCUCUGGACCAGAUAAUCUAGGUUCGAAUCCCAGCCCGCCAGCCA
rnacentral:tRNA from 1 species